rnacentral:rRNA from 1 species
ACGUAGGUGACAAGCGUUAUCCGGAAUUACUGGGCGUAAAGCGCACGCAGGCGGCUGAUUAAGUCUGACGUGAAAUCUCCUGGCUUAACUGGGAGGGGUCGUUGGAAACUGGUCGGCUUGAGGCAGUGAGAGGGGUGUGGAAUUCCCGGUGUAGUGGUGGAAUGCGUAGAGAUCGGGAGGAAUACCGGUGGCGAAGGCGACGCUCUGGUCCAGCCCUGACACUGAGGCGCGAAAGCGUGGGGAGCAAACGG